AACGAACGCUGGCGGCAGGCUUAACACAUGCAAGUCGAACGCCCCGCCAGGGGAGUGGCAGACGGGUGAGUAACGCGUGGGAAUCUACCCAUCCCUACGGAAUAACGCAUGGAAACGUGUGCUAAUACCGUAUACGCCCUACGGGGGAAAGAUUUAUCGGGGAUGGAUGAGCCCGCGUUGGAUUAGCUAGUUGGUGGGGUAAAGGCCUACCAAGGCGACGAUCCAUAGCUGGUCUGAGAGGAUGAUCAGCCACAUUGGGACUGAGACACGGCCCAAACUCCUACGGGAGGCAGCAGUGGGGAAUAUUGGACAAUGGGCGCAGGCCUGAUCCAGCCAUGCCGCGUGAGUGAUGAAGGCCUUAGGGUUGUAAAGCUCUUUCACCGGAGAAGAUAAUGACGGUAUCCGGAGAAGAAGCCCCGGCUAACUUCGUG
rnacentral:rRNA from 1 species